rnacentral:rRNA from 1 species
UACGAAGGGGGCUAGCGUUGCUCGGAAUCACUGGGCGUAAAGCGCACGUAGGCGGCUUUCUAAGUCAGGGGUGAAAUCCUGGAGCUCAACUCCAGAACUGCCUUUGAUAACUGGCGAUCUCGAGUCCGGGAGAGGUGAGUGGAACUGCGAGUGUAGAGGUGAAAUUCGUAGAUAUUCGCAAGAACACCAGUGGCGAAAGGCGGCUCACUGGCCCGGUACUGACGCUGAGGUGCGAAAAGCGUGGGGAGCAAACA